ACUUUUAGCAGAGAAACUAAUUUUAACUGUUACACCCCAUAUCUCUUUAUGUAGAUAUUUGGCUCUAUGAAUAUUGAGAAAUAAAAGUAUGAAUGAAAUUGAUGGAAGGGGAAAAAGACAUGGAGGAAAUGAAGCAAAGAAUGAUGUGAAAAAAAAAGUGUACCUUGCUCCACAGCUGCACAGGAAUGAGAAGAAUUUCACAGGAAUAAUGAAGUGGAGGAAUUCCAUGUGAACUGGAACGACCUCCAGGAAUUGAUGCAGAGUGAAAGGAGCAGAACCAGAACGAUGGACACAAAGACUGAAACAUUAUGGUACAAUUAAAUGCAACAGAAUUUUCUACUAAUGGCAAUGCAAUAAUCCAGGACAAUUCUGAAGGACUUGUGGGAAAGAACACUAUCCACAUCCAGAGAAAGAACUGUGGGAGUAGAAACACAGAAGAAAAAUAAAUGCUUUGUCACAUGAAUUGAUGGGGACA
rnacentral:lncRNA from 1 species